AGCAGUGGCUCAGGAGUAGAACAUCUGCUUUGCAUGCAGACGGUCCCAGGUUCAAUCCUUGAGUAGGGCUG